UCGUCCAGGCGCAGUCCCCGCGAUCGUCCGUGGGAAAGGGGGUCGGGAAACAGACCCCAGCAGGAAGGGAAGCAGCUCCAAGUGCCCUGACCAGCUUCCAUUGAUCAGAUAAUCUCCUGUCUCCAAAUAGAAGUGGGCUUUCUUUCAUUCCUCAAUAUAGAUAAACAUUGAGAAAACUGAGGCUAACAGAAUUUAAAGGACUUGUUCAUGAUAACACAACUAGUAAAUGUCUGAGGACAAAUACAUGAGAAAAAGACACACGAUUUGUAAAGAAACAUGAAGAUGAUCACAAUGACAAUAAACCCAGAAAUGGUUCCUGCUCACUGAGGGCUCACAAUCUAAACUUAGACUGAAGAAUGCUGCUGUUGACAGAAGGGAGAUUCCCAGUCUUACUGCUCCUCUGUAAAUGUGUCCAGAUUCCUCCCAAGGCACAAUGAUACUCACAUAUGUUACCCACUCCUCCCACCCCUCAAUCAUGGGAAAAAAAGUUCAACAACAUGAUGCAAGUGGUCCAGUAAUGUCCAUGUUUUCUGUAAUGCUGGCCGGGUGUCUAGGGUGAUUACUGAAAGCUAUUGGGGUGGUUUAUGAGAGCCGACACUUCCUGCUCAGCUUUUAUCAGCCACUGAGCAGUUAUCGUUAACAGGCUGCUCUGUACCAUAGUUGAUGUGACUGUUGUAAAUACCACUACGGUGCAGGCUAAUCAUGCUUCAUAAAAAAAGUAAGCAAGAGGCACUGAGCAGCUAACCCAAGACGCUCGCUGACCCAGCACUGCGGAAAAAGGUGUGGGAGAGGGAGGAAAGAGAUGAUCCUAUCUCUGUCCAACUUUCCACCACCCCUUCCCACUCCGCCCCAUGCUUUGCUGCCCUCCAGG